rnacentral:lncRNA from 1 species
GGGAAACACCUUCAUCAACAUCAUGCCACGUCUUUCUUACUUGGAAAUUUAUUUAUGCCGCAAAUUAAAGGCACUGCCCGACCACAUUCAUCAAACGACAACAUUGAAGAAAUUGCGCAUUGAGGGGUGUGACCUUCUGGAAGAACGUUACCGCAAGGGGGAAGGAGAAGACUGGCCUAAGAUAUCACACAUUCCCAACCUCCAUUUUGGGCUUUGACAAGUAAUUUCUUCUCUUACUCUGAUUUGCUUUGUUGUUGUUUUUAAUCUAAUUAAGAAGCGUAAAUAGCAUUUUGAAUCAAACUCUAUAUCAGAAAUCUGCAAUACAUACUUUCUAAUAUUCUGAUUUUCAUAUCUUCUGAAUGUACGAUUUUUAAUUUGUGAGAUGGGUAACGUUACCGUAAAAGAUUAUUAAUGCAAUAUGAGUAAUUCUUUUGCAGGACAAGUGACCUACAUUUAGUUUGGCUUUGGAGUUGAAUAAUAACCUUUCGAGGUCCCGACAACCAAAAAACGAAGCUUAAUUUGCCACAGAUUGAACGUAUUGCCAUUAUUGACAAUUUUCUGCACAAGCGUGACUGAACUUAGGUUGAUGUCAAAA